GACGAACGCUGGCGGCGUGCUUAACACAUGCAAGUCGAACGGAAAGGCCCUGCUUUUGUGGGGUGCUCGAGUGGCGAACGGGUGAGUAACACGUGCGUAACCUGCCCUUGACUUUGGGAUAACUUCAGGAAACUGGGGCUAAUACCGGAUAGGAGCUCCUGCUGCAUGGUGGGGGUUGGAAAGUUUCGGCGGUUGGGGAUGGACUCGCGGCUUAUCAGCUUGUUGGUGGGGUAGUGGCUUACCAAGGCUUUGACGGGUAGCCGGCCUGAGAGGGUGACCGGCCACAUGGGGACUGAGAUACGGACCAGACUCCUACGGGAGGCAGCAGUGGGGAAUAUUGCACAGUGGGCGGAAGCCUGAUGCAGCAACGCCGCGUGCGGGAUGACGGCCUUCGGGUUGUAAACCGCUUUCGCCUGUGACGAAGCGUGAGUGACGGUAAUGGGUAAAGAAGCACCGGCUAACUACGUG
rnacentral:rRNA from 1 species